GCUGCAGUGUGGUGAGGUCUGGGUUUGUACAUCACUGCCUGAAGAGUACUCAACCAGCUGUGGGAAGUCCAGGAGGAAGCAGAGAGAGACCUGAGAGCUCAAACAACCCUCAAGAAAGGAGGAAAGAUCGUGAGGAUGAUAAAGGUCUUUUGGCAGACAAACGAGUCCUGUGGGGGGAUCCUGAGGUGUGUUUGGAGAUGGACUUGUGGACCUUCUGCCGUGUCUGAGUUUCCCAUGGUGUAUCACUGGCAUUUGCUGGCUCAUGUGGAGACUGAGAUGCUGUCUGGGCGAAGAGGGGAGCAAUUUUUUAUGUUGAAAUUGAAAUGGAGUGUCAACUGAAGAAAACUAAGAGGUUCCAGGCAGAACUGCAGCCCAGAACUGCAGGAGAAAGGCUUUUAUUGAGGAAUGAAGCAAAAUAGGGAGUGAAGAGCAAGGGGCAUGGCAAGGACUCAAGCUGGAGUCUCAUACUUUAUUUUUGUCAAAGCUGGGGGUAGUUUUGCCUUUCACUUUGAACAAAAGCCAGUCCCCAAAAUCCAGAGGGGUGAGUAGAAGUCAAGAUGUGAGGGGACCCUGAUGCUUUGAACCCCCACAAACACUUUUCCCUAUUCCUCCCCCCCCAAAAAAGUGGUUUAUUCUGCCUGUAUGAGAGACUCAGUUACAUAAUCAGUCCCUGAUUUCACGUCUCUGUGUCCUGGCUCUGCAGCCCCUCCUGCCAAGGCUGGUCCAGUGCAGCAGUGGGGAGCCUGCUGCCACUUAGGUGGUCCCAAAUUGCUUCUUGCUUCUUGUUCCUCAGCUUCCUUGCCAAGUUUGGAAGGACUCUGUGAGGGCUUCUAGCUCUGAGCAGUGGGUUCAUUAAUUAGCACAUAUAUUGCCUUCAAGGUCUGCACCUCUCGGCUGCAGCUCUUGGGUCCCACGUGACAGUGCAGGUGGAGGUUUCUCUCUGGGAAUGGGGAAUGGAUGUUCCUUGUCUCAGUGUGCUUUUUGACCAUGGAAUUGAUCCAAUGCAAAGAGAGAAGGGACACUGUGGUUCUAGGGAAAACACUUCCUGCUGAGCUGAGAGCUGUAUUGGCACAGAGAUGAUGGCAAGUACACAUGGAGCCAGUUUUCUCUUUCCUCGUAGCCUGAGGGUCUCAGGGGUGUGGGACACAAGUCCAUGCCUUUCAAACAUGCUCCAGACAGCGUCUCAUGUGAUGCUGACAUUGUCCAAAAUUGCUGAGGACACGUUUCUCCCUUCCCCUGCAAGCACAUGG
rnacentral:lncRNA from 1 species